rnacentral:rRNA from 1 species
AACGCGAAGAACCUUACCAGCCCUUGACAUGUCCCGUAUGAGUACCAGAGAUGGAACUCUUCAGUUCGGCUGGCGGGAACACAGGUGCUGCAUGGCUGUCGUCAGCUCGUGUCGUGAGAUGUUGGGUUAAGUCCCGCAACGAGCGCAACCCCCGUCCUUAGUUGCUACCAUUCAGUUGAGCACUCUAAGGAGACUGCCGGUGAUAAGCCGCGAGGAAGGUGGGGAUGACGUCAAGUCCUCAUGGCCCUUACGGGCUGGGCUACACACGUGCUACAAUGGCGGUGACAAUGGGACGCGAAGGGGCAACCCCUAGCAAAUCUCAAAAAGCCGUCUCAGUUCGGAUUGGGCUCUGCAACUCGAGCCCAUGAAGUUGGAAUCGCUAGUAAUCGUGGAUCAGCACGCCACGGUGAAUACGUUCCCGGGCCUUGUACACACCGACGCGUA